rnacentral:misc_RNA from 1 species
AAUUUCACAUAGUUUAGGGGCAUAAUGUUGAAAAGUCAAUGUCUAGCAAGAUAUGCUGAUACCAAGAGCAGGACUAGACAGUUCUGUUUGCUUAAUGUGUCCAGAUAGUGAAAUAUGGGGAAUCAAACCACAAGGAUAUUUACAAACCAAAUAUAAGUCCUUAAAGGAGGCUGAUACUCUCUAUUACAUGAAAGAAAAGUGAUGUUUGAAGGCAGAUCAGUUGAGCAACAACGCAUUGGAUCUGCAAGGUCAUUCAUCUUUCACCUCUUCAUAACAGAGGGGGCAAUUCUUUCUUUCUUUUAGCCAGCGGUUAAUACAUUCUGAAUGAAACAUGUGUGCACAAGGCAAAGUGGUCAACAUAUCUCCGCUUCUGUAUGCAGCAUAACAUAUAACACACUCUCCCAUCUUCUUUUUCUUUGAGAAGAAUCCAGUCUUGUAUUUGAAACUUGGUAAACGACUUAUGAGGUCUUGUGAAAGCCCUCUGCUCUGCUG